AUUGAACGCUGGCGGCAGGCCUAACACAUGCAAGUCGAGCGGAGCGGCGGACGGGUGAGUAAUGCCUAGGAAUCUGCCUGGUAGUGGGGGAUAACGUCCGGCAACGGGCGCUAAUACCGCAUACUAUCAGAUGAGCCUAGGCCGGAUUAGCUAGUUGGUGGGGUAAAGGCCUACCAAGGCGACGAUCCAUAACUGGGCUGUGAGGAUGAUCAGUCACACGGGACAUGAGACACGGUCCAGACUCCUACGUGAGGCAGCAGUGGGGAAUAUUGGACAAUGGGCGCAAGCCUGAUCCAGCCAUGCCGCGGGUGUGAAGAAGGUCUUCGGAUUGUAAAGCACUUUAAGUUGGGAGGCGUUACCAACAGAAUAAGCACCGGCUAACUUCGUGCCAGCAGCCGCGGUAAUUC
rnacentral:rRNA from 1 species